AGGGUUGACACAGUAUAAUUCAAAGUUAGUUUAUAUGAAAAAAAGGAAUGUAAAAACUGCCAUUUAAACCAGUAAUUACAGGUUUAUUAAGAAAUUAGCCGGCUUUUAGAAGGCUUAGGUUUAGCAACACGGCCAUUAGAAGUAUUGUUAAGUGAUGACAUGCUAACACUUCGCUGAGCACUUUUUUUAGAAUGACUAGACCCACUAGACCACCUAUUUCCACUUGUACGUCGAAUUGGACUACCAGUUGGUGAGGAUGUCGGAGAACGAACUCCAUUUGGUUCGAUAUUGCUUUGACUUGAUGAGCGACGCAAGCGAACCACUGAAAUUGUUUCAGUUGGAGUUCCAACAGUCCGUGUUUCAUCAUCAUUUUGUAUUUCUGAAUCUUCGUAACUACUGUAUGACGCUUUGUUCUCAUUUUGGAUUGAUUGCUUGGAAGCAUUUUUAAGUUUCUCAUUAAAUUUGACAGAGGACGCUGAAGGGAGACGUCUCGCCGACGGUGGAUUAUGUCCAGAAACUUUUCUCGGUUGGCCAGGCGUUGGUUCUGGAAGAGGAGUACUGAUAUUGCUUUGAGAGGUACCAUUCGUAGCAUUCAAUGGAUGGCGAGGAGGAGUAGCUAAGGGUUCCGCAGCGGUGGCCUGUUGGAUUGCUCUUCCCAUCGCCUUUUCGUAAAAAUAUGCACGGAAAUGAACUUGAUUAAUAUGUAACCAAUGCUGUUGUGGACCUACAACCAUUCCAGGACGCAUUAUUCUCAUGUAAGCAAUAACUUCAUUAGCAGUAAAACAAUGUUUGUAUAUUAAAUAUGCGCCAAUUAAGCAUCCAGUACGUCCGAGCCCUGCUUUGCAAUGAACAGCAAUCACACCGUCUUCUUCUACUUCCUCGGUAAGGUCAAUAAACUCUUUGACAAGAGAAAGCUCUGGAACUGUGCCAUCCUCAAAAUACAUCUCUUUAUGUCGAAUUCCAACAUUUUCAAAAGUCUUUUUAUCGUAAAGAGGUCCAUUAAGCCUAACUAUCAGUUUGACCUUAUUAGCGACGAAAUAAUCGAGAACUAUCGCAAACGGUUGAGGAAGUUUCUUUGGACGUGUGCUCGCAUGAUUCCAACCAGCCUGAAUAGGACUUGCAAAUGCUAUAAACUUAGGAGAUAUCCAAUUAAAAUCUCCAUUCUCCACUCUUUCAUAAGUUUCAUAGUCAUGAACAUCGAUAUUACGUAUAUUUAGUAUGCUGCUCUCUCGUGCUCUCCACAGUCCGUAAACACAAUCUUGAAUCGUGAUAUAGUAAUCUGAAACAGCAUAUCCCGCAUCUCUAAACCCCAAAAAAGGAGGUUCUGCCUGAGCUAAAGGGGCUAAUGCGAGAUGUGGAGGCCAGUUUUGUACUAACACCAUGUAGCAAGCUAACAAACAAGCGGCAUUUGCACGCAACCUUGUAUCUGUAGAAGAAUAUAAAACUAUAGCCUUGCUUUUCUUAGCUUGUCUGUGUUUUCCCAUGAUACCAUGAACUAUCACUGCAAAUCUAAUAAGAUGACUCACGUUCAGCGGACCAAAGUCAUGAUAAAAAGGGUUGUAGAUCAAUUCAUCAUCGAUAGUAAAAAAAUGCAUAUGAGGAUAUAACUCGGCUUUAGGUGGUUGCGACAAUGAUGUGUAGUAUAACUUGUCUAUUUAACAUGUUAAUCAAUUUUACGAGAUAUUUGAGUUAAACUUCAUGCAUACCCUCCAAAAACUCAAUCAUUUCACCAAGCCCAUCAUCUUGGUAAUCCAUCAGACAAGUAAUUGCGAAUCUCGUCUAUAUUCGUCAAACCCGUAAUGGUUGAGUUCUAAAUUGUGUACCUGGGUGUUGGUGGUCCUUGUAAAUAGAAGGGAUGAUAAUGCACAAGAAAAUAUGUGGGGUGCGAAACAAAUGAAGACAAAAGUGGAUUCUAAACUAUACACAA